CAGGUAGCCUAGUGGUUAGAGCAGGUAGCCUAGUGGUUAGAGGAGGCAGGUAGCCUAGUGGUUAGAGGAGGCAGGUAGCCUAGUGGUUAGAGGAGGCAGGUAGCCUAGUGGUUAGAGGAGGCAGGUAGCCUAGUGGUUAGAGGAGGCAGGUAGCCUAGUGGUUAGAGGAGGCAGGUAGCCUAGUGGUUAGAGGAGGCAGGUAGCCUAGUGGUUAGAGGAGGCAGGUAGCCUAGUGGUUAGAGGAGGCAGGUAGCCUAGUGGUUAGAGGAGGCAGGUAGCCUAGUGGUUAGAGCAGGUAGCCUAGUGGUUAGAGGAGGCAG
ensembl:lncRNA